CACCUGCCUCUACCUCCGAGUGCUGGGAUUAAAGGAGUGCUCCACAGCCUUCCAGCUUCACCUGCAGGUCUUAACUGUGCGCCCUCAGGCCCCACAGCAAGCGCUGGUGAGAGUUUUCUGCACAGAGGGUACUCGGUGCUUUCUCCCAGGAAACCCACUUAGCCUCUCCGCUCUGUCUCUUCUGACUGGCACUCCUUCCUUCACACCUGCCCUUUGUUGCUCCUUUUCCUGAGCACAGACCUGACACCUAGAGGUCGCUUAUCAAGAUGUAGCCCUUAACUGCAAGUGUUGAAGAUGCUGUCCCACUGACUCACGCCUAGGAGGGACAGUGGCCUGACUAACUCAGGCCUAUUGAGAGGUGGCUAUCUCAAUCUGCUUUCUCUUGCCAACAACUCAUUGCUGCAGACAAGGUGAGGGAAAGAGAAGGGAUUUUAUUUGGUUUGGAGUUCUGGUUUACUGUCAUGGACCACAUCUGGUGAUGGCUUUUGUGUUGGCAGUGUCCCAAGGAGCAAGGCGGCGUGGCCAUGUUCAAGGGAAAGGAGAUCCUAGCUGUGCCCUUGGCUGUCCUCUGCUACUCUCAUUUAGAGAUUUGCCUGGACUAAGCCCUGAGGGACAAAGCCCACGGAGAGCCAUUUCUCUUUGGAAGCCUGCGUUCUUCCCCAAGCCUACCAGCUGUAAGCAGAUGGACUUCUCUUCCCGUGGCUUCAGUAUUUGGUCAUGGAUGCAAGAGAGGUCUCUCAGCGGCCUGGUGAGAGCUCCGCAGUUAAGAGCACUGGCUGGACGGACAAUCAGGAGGAUCAGAGUUUGGAUCCCAGAACUCACAUAAGAAACCAGGUGUCCUGUGCAUGCCUCUAAUGCCUGCUCCAAGAGUGAGCGUGGAGACAGGAGGAUCACUGGGACUUGUUUUCCAGCCUAACUGAGAAAAUGGGAGUCUCACGUUCAGGGGGAGAUAUAUAUCACCUCAGAGGAGCAGCUCAAGAAUAAUAAGGAAAGUAGAGCUGCUGCUGAUUCCCUCCUCUGGACUCCUCGGAUGUACACGCUCACACCCACACCCACCCACACAUACACACACCCCACCCCCACACAGCCCACACAUGCCUACACACCUACACCCAUAUGCCCCCCCAUACCCACAAUGCCUACCUAACACCCAUAUCCACACCCACACCCACCCACAAACUCAUACCCAUAUGCAACUUCCCCCACACCUACCACAUACACAGACCACAUACACACACACAUACACACACACUUAACUACCACAUAUGCAAACAGACCACACACACAUAUACAUACAUAUACCACACCACACACAUAAACCACACACAUACAUAUACACACAUAUACAUAUACACAACACACACGGAUAACACACACACACACACACCACACCACAUACAAAAAAACCACAGAGACACACACAUAUAUAUACACACAUACCACACCACACACAUACACAUAUAUACUACACUCAACACUAUACACACACAUACCAUACCACACGCACCACACAUCCAGUCUACAAACACACAUACCACACCACAUCCCACCAUCACUCCCACCCUCCACCCCUCUACACACAUACAUACACAUACCACAUACACCACACACACACACAGACCACACAGACCAUAGACCCACACAUACACAAACCAUACCCACCUCAUAUACACACAUAAUCAGACACACACAUACAACACCAUACUCCCAUCACCUCACACCACAUACACACACACACACACACACACACACACAUAAACACAUACACACACAUGCACACACAGAGCAAUAUUAUUCUGCCUAAAAAAAUAAAAUAAAA